GCUUCUGACCCGGGCCGAGCCGGGAACUCAGCGCCAGCUCUGUUCCUGGCGGGGCUGAGGCUUCCCUCACAUUCCAGGCCACCUGGCAAACGUCCUGAGGCUGCCACUCCUUCUGGGCUCAAGGCUCACGGGCUGAGGUCUGUCCCCGCGUGGAGCUCAAGGCUCACGGGCUGAGUGCCUGAGAAGAAAACAGAACUGCCAGCAGACUAUGGGACAAACGACUAAAUGCCCUCCAGACGUUCCAGAGUCCUCUGCCUCUCAGGCUUCAGUUCUUCCUGAAGGAAUCUGGAGCUGGAAAGCAGGAAGCAAUUUGCUGUGGAAUUUUUUCCAUCACAGACUCCAAGUUCCUCAGCCUUUGGACUCUUGAACUUACACCAGUGUUUUGGCAGGAGCGCUCGGGCCUUUGGCCACAGACUGAAGGCUGCAUUGUCAGCUUCCCUACUUUUGAGGUUUUGGGACUCAGACUGAUCCACCACUGGCUUCCUUGCUCUUCAACUUGAAGACGGCCUAUCGUGAGACUUUACCUCGUGAUUAUCCUUGCCUGGAUUCUCCACCUCCUCAACCCCAGGAAGCAACAAGCUAUCAAAGACAGAAUUUGCACAACAGGACAAAGGAAGGCUAUAAGCUUCUUGAAGGCAGAGAUUAUAUCUCAUUCAAUCUUCUAUCUCAAGUAUCUACUGCAAAACCAAGCAAACGGCGAUCUGAGCACCUGAUGGCAGAACUGGAAGAGGUGAAAGAAAACCCCAGGGACACUCUGGACAUGUUCUGUAUUAUUUGGAUCCAGACUGGUCUGAAUUUAUCAAAAGAGAUUAACAUGAUAUAAACCAAGAGGGAAAUGAAGAAACGAAGCAUGUUCAUUUUGGAUUGAAGAAAAGUUUGUCAUUAUAAUGUAUCUUCAGAUUUGGUUGCCGUGCAGGGCAAUUUACUGUUCUUUUGAUCUUUUUCUCUGUUUAAAAAGACAUGGACUAGGCGAGGAAUGGAGCAGGUGAAGCACCGCUGACAUUAUUAGUGUGCGUGUGAACCUCUGAUAUGCUAAUAGGCAAAGUGGGUGGAAUGGAAUUGCUCUUAAAUAAGUAAAAAACUUAACAUUCAAUUACCUUUAAAAAUGGGCAUAAUUUGGAGGGUUUCAUUUAACACACUGCAGGUAAAAUCUAAUUUUGUUUUUCUAAACUUUCCUUUGCUAAUGCAAGGCAGGAGAGUUUUGUGUGUGUUUAAAUAGACCAAAGUCUCACUGGGGAGAGUCAGAGGUCUGGGAUUCUCAUAUUUUGGAGAUAGUAAUUUGAUUUUCCUAGGAUCCUUUUUUUUUUUUUUUUUUAGCAGAAAAAUGUGGUAACAGUGUCAUCCAGUCACAGCCAUGGAGACGACCCAGUAGGGAUUCAUAGAAUUUUGCAAAUGCUCCUCUGUCCCGUGAGAUGAAAUUCCUUUCCCAUCCAAAGUACCCACCCAAAGAGAAAACUAUCCUAGGACUUUUGCUUCUUCCAGAAAUUACUUCAGACAUCUCCCCCUUUCAGACUCUCUCUCUUUCCCCUGCUGUUUCAUUUCCUCUGGUUGUAGUAAUGUAGAAACCCUUUGUGUCGUGCAGGGGCUAAGAGCGUGCUCUCUGAAGCCACGCAGCCUCCCAGACAGUCUAGACACUGCUGUUGAUGAACUGUACCAUCUUGAUUAUUUCACUGAACCCCUUUGAGGUUUUCCUCACAUAGAAAAUGGGGAUAGUAAUAGUUCCUACUGCCUAGUGUUGUUUUGAAGAUUAAAUGAAACUGUGCAUGUAAAGUGGUAAGCACCAAAUGGUGUUAGCAGUUGUUAUUGUUGCUAUUAUUAUUACUAUUACUUUUAACUUGUAGGUGUUUGAGCCAAGCCCAGGGCCUCCUGCAUGUGCCAGCUUCAGUAGCUGCACCAGCAGUCCCCAUUGGGCACUGUGGCAGUGGUGGUGAUGGAGGAGGAGGUGGUGGUAAAGAGGGGAACAAGUGGAUUAAGCAGAGGGAGGUGAGGCAGGAGGAAGGCAUGAUGGGAGGGUAAUAUGGUUAGGCUUUGUAUCCCUACCCAAAUCUCAUCUUGAAUUGUAAUUCCCAGGUGGUUAGGGAGAGACUGGUGGGAAGUGAUUGGAUUAUGGGGGCAGUUUCCUACACGCUGUUCUCAUCUCGUGGUAGUGAGUGAGUUCUCGCUAGAUCUGAUGAUUUUAUAAGGGGCUCUUCCCGCUUCAAUCCUCAUACUCUCUCUCCUGCCGCCAUGUGAGGGAAGGUCUUAGCUUGCUUCUCCUUUGCCUUCUGCCAUGAUUGUAAAUUUCCUGAGGCCUCCGCAGCCAUGUGGAACUGUGAGUCAAUUAAACCUCUUUCCUUUAUAAAUU